rnacentral:rRNA from 1 species
GGAUCGGCGUAGGUGACCUGCGGAGGGUCAUUACACAAAUAUGAAGGCGGGCUGGAACCUCUCGGGGUUACAGCCUUGCUGAAUUAUUCACCCUUGUCUUUUGCGUACUUCUUGUUUCCUUGGUGGGUUCGCCCACCACUAGGACAAACAUAAACCUUUUGUAAUUGCAAUCAGCGUCAGUAACAAAUUAAUAAUUACAACUUUCAACAACGGAUCUCUUGGUUCUGGCAUCGAUGAAGAACGCAGCGAAAUGCGAUAAGUAGUGUGAAUUGCAGAAUUCAGUGAAUCAUCGAAUCUUUGAACGCACAUUGCGCCCUUUGGUAUUCCAAAGGGCAUGCCUGUUCGAGCGUCAUUUGUACCCUCAAGCUUUGCUUGGUGUUGGGCGUCUUGUCUCUAGCUUUGCUGGAGACUCGCCUUAAAGUAAUUGGCAGCCGGCCUACUGGUUUCGGAGCGCAGCACAAGUCGCACUCUCUAUCAGCAAAGGUCUAGCAUCCAUUAAGCCUUUUUUUCAACUUUUGACCUCGGAUCAGGUAGGGAUACCCGCUGAACUUAA